UACGGAGGAUGCAAGCGUUAUCCGGAAUUAUUGGGCGUAAAGCGUCCGUAGGUGGCCUUGUACGUCUGCUGUGAAAGCGUCUGGCUCAACCAGAUAAAGGCAGUGGAAACUACAUAGCUAGAGUAAGGUAGGGGUAGAGGGAAUUCCUGGUGUAGCGGUGAAAUGCGUAGAGAUCAGGAAGAACACCGGUGGCGAAAGCGCUCUGCUGGACCUUAACUGACACUGAGGGACGAAAGCUAGGGGAGCGAAUGGG
rnacentral:rRNA from 1 species